CCUACGGGAGGCAGCAGUGAGGAAUAUUGGUCAAUGGGCGCUAGCCUGAACCAGCCAAGUCGCGUGAAGGAAGACGGCCCUAUGGGUUGUAAACUUCUUUUAUCUGGGAAUAAAGUGCAGUAUGUAUACUGUUUUGCAUGUACCUUAUGAAUAAGGAUCGGCUAACUACGUGCCAGCAGCCGCGGUAAUACGGGGGAUCCAAGCGUUAUCCGGAUUUAUUGGGUUUAAAGGGUGCGUAGGCGGAUGGAUAAGUUAGAUGUGAAAUGUCCGGGCUUAACUCGGGAAGUGCCUCUGAUACUGUUGAGCUAGAGAGUAGGAGCGGUAGGCGGAAUGUAUGGUGUAGCGGUGAAAUGCGUAGAGAUCAGGCAGAACACCGAUUGCGAAGGCAGCUUACCAGUCUAAAACUGACGUUGAGGCACGAAAGCGUGGGGAGCAAACAGGAUUAGAUACCCCAGUAGUC
rnacentral:rRNA from 1 species